AUUGAACGCUGGCGGCAGGCCUAACACAUGCAAGUCGAGCGGAUGAAAGGGGCUUGCUCCCGGAUUCAGCGGCGGACGGGUGAGUAAUACGCAGGAAUCUACCUAGGUAGUGGGGGAUAAACGUUUCGAAAGGGGCGCUAAUACCGCAUACGUUCUGAGAAAGAAAGCAGGGGAUCGCAAGGACCUUGCGCUAUUAGAUGAGCUUGCGUCCGAUUAGCUAGUUGGUGGGGUAAAGGCCUACCAAGGCGACGAUCGGUAACUGGUCUGAGAGGAUGAUCAGUCACACUGGAACUGAGACACGGUCCAGACUCCUACGGGAGGCAGCAGUGGGGAAUAUUGGACAAUGGGGGCAACCCUGAUCCAGCCAUGCCGCGUGUGUGAAGAAGGCCUCGGUUG
rnacentral:rRNA from 1 species